rnacentral:misc_RNA from 1 species
GAUGAAGAACGUAGCGAAAUGCGAUAAGUAAUGUGAAUUGCAGAAUUCAGUGAAUCAUCGAAUCUUUGAACGCACAUUGCGCCCACUGGUAUUCCGGGGGGCAUGCCUGUCCGAGCGUCAUUACAACCCUCAAGCUCAGCUUGGUGUUGGGCCCCGCCGCCCCGGCGGGCCCUAAAGUCAGUGGCGGUGCCGUCCGGCUCCGAGCGUAGUAAUUCUUCUCGCUCUGGAGGUCCGGUCGUGUGCUCGCCAGCAACCCCCAAUUUUUUUCAGGUUGACCUCGGAUCAGGUAGGGAUACCCGCUGAACUUAAGCAUAUCAAUAAGCGGAGGA